rnacentral:tRNA from 1 species
CCUACCUGGUGGUCAACGGUUUGAGCCGGGCGUUUCGGCCGUCCGGGGUGGGGCAACCGCAACCGGCCGGCCCGGCGACCGGCUGGGCCGGGC